GUUGGUGUAGCUCAGUGGUAGAGUGCAUGCUUUGUAUGUAUGAUGUCCUGGGUCAAUCCCAGCUUCUCCC